CUACGGGUCGCUGCAGUGGGGAAUAUUGGGCAAUGGGCGCAAGCCUGACCCAGCAACGCCGCGUGAGGGAAGAAUGUCUUCGGAUUGUAAACCUCUGUCCUUGGGGACGAAAAAAAUGACGGUACCCAAGGAGGAAGCUCCGGCUAACUACGUGCCAGCAGCCGCGGUAAUACGUAGGGAGCAAGCGUUGUCCGGAAUUAUUGGGCGUAAAGGGUGCGUAGGCGGCGCUGUAAGUCAGAUGUGAAAUCCCCGGGCUUAACUCGGGAGUUGCAUUUGAAACUACAGUGCUUGAGUAAAGAAGGGGUAGGUGGAAUUCCUAGUGUAGCGGUGGAAUGCGUAGAUAUUAGGAGGAACACCAGUGGCGAAGGCGACUUACUGGUCUUUUACUGACGCUGAGGCACGAAAGCGUGGGGAGCAAACAGGAUUAGAUACCCUAGUAGUC
rnacentral:rRNA from 1 species